UGGGGAAGGGCUGUGACCUGGAGACCGGAUUGCAGAGUCAGGUCCUGACUCCCCGUGAGAGGGUCACCCUUGGUCUUUGAGCUGGGGUGGGAACCUUGGGUGUGGUAGGAUAGUGAGGGCCCAGGCCCAGAGGGGCUCAGUGAUAUUCCCAACAGGUUCUCUCUUGGAGGCCUUGGGGCACCCCCAGGCCUUUCCUUUCAGGGGAAUAGCUGCCCCACCAGGGAGGCAAUGACAGUAGCCCAAGACCCAUCAGGGUCGGGUCUGGGUGGUUUGGCCUCAUUGCACCACCAAGAGAAAGGGGAAGGCACCCCAGGCCUGACCUGCUAACGUUGUGGUUUUUCCAGCCAGGCACUUUUGCGUCCUUUGCCUGAGACUGAGCUCCCCUGGGUGCCUGGCUGGAGCUGACUGUGAACCCAGUUUAUGAGUCCUGAAGGCAGACAGUUGAGAAGAGCUCUUAAGGGCCUGUAGGUGGUGGAGUGAGGAUGGCGGUGGCAAGCCAGUGGAUUCUGGGUUUGUAGUUUGAGUGUUUGGGGUUGAUGGCGCGGACAUCAGUGCUACCAGCAAGGUUAUAUCCUGGAGCAGGACCUGGAAAAUAAGGGAGUUCCCAUGGACUUUCUGAGUGGGACAUGCAGCAGCAGCUCCAGGGGCAGAGACUGCCGGAAAGAUGAAUGUCAUCUAAGAUGUGUGAAAACAAAUACUGACUAGCUGACAAAGUGAUCCCCAGCCUCAGGAGCCCAUGAGCCAGGAGGGGCAGACUUGCAGGGGGUUGGUGGAGAGAAACAUCAGUCAAUUGCCUUCUGUACGUG